AUUUACUCCAGGUUGCCACAUUUACUCCAGGUUGCCACAUUUACUCCAGGUUGCCACAUUUACUACAGGUUGCCACAUUUACUCCAGGUUGCCACAUUUACUACAGGUUGCCACAUCUACUCCAGGUUGCCACAUCUAUUCCCGUUGGAGGUGGCUACCCACAUGAUAAUCAAACAGCCAAAAAAUUCUACCAAAUGUCCAAAUCGGACAAAUUGUGAAUGUAAACAAUUAAAUAAAAAAAAAAAAACAUCUACUCCUAAUAGUUCUGGGACAUACGGAAAAUGAAAAAGCAACGUAUCCCAUAUUUUUCCAGAAACCCCCUAAAACCAGCGUGGAAACAGCGAUCGUCAAACACGAACCCGUCGUUUCCACGUCCGUCAAGAUUUGCCCGCAAAAUGGAUCUCCUCUCGUCCAACCCCUAUCGUCACAAUGCGUGCAAGCCUUUUUUCCGUAGCUUCCUGUCGAAACGGAUUCCUUUAACCGGGCGAAACCAAGCCCCUGCAACAGGCAUAUGUGUGCGCACGACACAUCACCGUCGAAACUUAUUUUAACGUGAAAACGCUAGAAAGAAUUCCGUGGGAACUGACUAGGAGAGGUAAGCAAGAGUUGGAUUUCCUAAAGAAAAGGAAAAACGCUCCUCCUGUUUCUCUGUGUGUUCAGGCAUUUAUAUCGAAGGGAUCGACGAGAGGGGUAAGAUCGUUAUUAAGGAAGAAACGCAUGAUUUUUUUAUCUUUCGUGGAAGAAUCGGUGGUAGGUAUUAUUUAUAUUGGAGAUCGAUGAAUUCUUUAAUAUUAGACCGUUAAUCAUAUAUUCGGAUGAAAUCUAUUACAGAAAUAAAUUGAAUUGGCAUUAAACUAUGGUAUAAAGAGAGUUCAUCCGAACACACGAUCGUCUUUAAUAAAAAUCUUUUUUUUUUAUUUAUUUAUUUAUUAAUAUUUACAAUCAAUUCUCGCAUUGAGAAUUUUCAGUAAAUAAAAAUCUUUGAUAACAAAUUUUUCAAACAAUUCAUCGAAUAUUUAUCUUUCAUCUUCUGAAAAAAUACCUAUCGUUCGUCUACGAAAAGAAUGCUAUACUAAAUCUCUUCUAGAGUCUUCUACAGUUCCAGCAACGACUUCUGAUAAAUCAUAAUCGUACUGUCAUUCACCCUUCAUUCUUUCACGAAAACCAUGUCACGACCUUUGGACUUAGAGAAGGACGUUAGAGAAAGUUUCGAGAAAUUUGCUUGGAAGGCGAAUUAUUGUCGAAGAACAGGUAAAAUAUUGUCACGAAAAGGAUUUCGACCGUUUUUGCCGAUCAUACUAGGAAAGGGUUGAAACCCUCCGCAGCGAAUAGGCCAAAGGUUCGUCAUAUCAAGGUUAAAUCGACGAGGGUCGCGAGAAUUGACGAUCGAUGGGGCAAAUUUCGUAGAAAAGAAGGCAAUUUUUGCGGUAAAUGGCCCUCUUUCUCGCGCGAUUUGUGCUCUCGAGGAAGGGGCGAGACUAGUUGCCUUUUUAACGCGCAAUCUUGCAGAUUUUACAAAAAAGGGUUACGCGAAAGGCUUUCCCGUAGGGUCGUUUUCUAUUUUUGAAGUAAACUCUUCUUGAAAAAUAAAUUGUACCGAUCUUGGGCAGAAAGAUUUGCCAUGUGGGAAAAUAUUUUUUUAGGAUGGAUUUCAAUUACGGAGGAGAAUCGAACAUUUUUGUGUCGAAGAAAGUCGUCAAAUUUCACGAAUUACGCAGGUAUUUUUGGAAGUUUCAACAAGUAGGAAAAAAACCGUUGUUGCUGCAGAAGAAAUUUAUGAGGUUAGGAUUGUAACGGAUCUAAAAAAACGUAUAGCGAAGCAUUCUUAGGAUCGUCGUUUUUGCCACUAUGAAAAUAUGCAGGAAAAAUAUGAAAAAAGUUAUACGACGUUCUAAUUGUUUCGGGAGUCAUCAGAAAUAUAUUGUUUCGUUGUAAACAGAGGAAUGUUUGAAUACACGGCAUUAAUGUGUUUUGUCAGAAACAAUAUUUGCACUUUCGAAACCAACAAUUUCAUUUCGAAGCAUAAAACAACUACGCUACGUGUACGGAAUCAAGUUGCAUAAAUAAGAUGCAUACAUAACCGGUGCUCAAAUAUUUUUCUUCUUCUUUCCACAAAUCAUACGACAAAAUAUGCUUCGCGAAGGAUCGGAUCGUUGAUGCUACGAAAAUUAUCCAAAAUUCGUGCCUUCUAAAACUGAAUAAAAUUAAGCAAAAAUCUUUUUAUUCGAAAAAUUCGCUACUAGAUGUCGUAUUAAUUCUAUAAUAAAUAAUUUUAGGGCAAAAUUAUUGACGAAACCAGAGAAGAAAAGAGAAAUUCGAGGAAAUGGACAAACGCGCCCGUAUGUGUACCAUACGAGCAAAAUACACGUGUGUCGCAUUAUGAUGUACAACGUGCACACGCACGACCGACACACAAUUCCAUUGUCGAAGGUAUCCCUUGUUUGCUCGAGGAUCUGGCGAGCAGCUGAUUGGGAUUUUCGCUCUCGUCAAGUCUUGUGGAUUACACAUGGCACGUCGCUUUCGUAACGACGCUGAUGCCGUAUUUGCGCGCGGAGGAAAUAAGAAAAAAGUAUUAUUUGAGGGCGGUUCAAGCUCGUUCAAGAAGACAUCACUGACGUGGAAAGGAAAUCUGCGAAAAAAUUGUUGGUGAAAUUCGUUUGGACAUAAAACGAUGUUUUAAUUCAAUACUUAAGUAGGUUAUAUUUUGUAUAAACGAUUAUAAAUAAAGUGACACGUUUAUGACAUAAAAUAAUUAUGUUUCAACUUCAAUAAAAAAUCAACGUUAACUUUACCGAAAACAUUUGCACGUAUACGAUAAUUGUGAAAAAUAGAAACGAAAUCCAAAAGUCGUCAUUUCAAUGGACCUGGUAGCUCCAGUGUUAAUCCCUUAAUCCCUUAAUCCCUUAAUAUUUACGUUUGGCCCGAUCAUCGUGCCACGGGCUAUGUCCGUAGCUGUAGGUGAAGGGGUUAAAUCAAUCAUUUUGCAAUUUAAAGUAAACUACAAGUAAUUACAAAAUAAAACGAUAUAAUUAUCGAACCUACAUACGAUCCUCGAGUAUCUAUUUCGACGAAUCGAACAUGUUGCAGAAAGUGCAAGAAUUUACCAGAGUCUUCGAGGUUUAAUAAUCUCGAGCUCGAUAAUAACGAUCUCGUUCAAAGGUUCCCGUGCGGAACGGCAAAAAUGUAGCCACCCCCUGGAAUCCCCGAGUCGGGACGGCGAUGUGGCAUUAGUAAAAACGCGAUAUUGUC